GACGAACGCUGGCGGCGUGCCUAACACAUGCAAGUCGAACGGAAAGGCCCUGCUUUUGUGCGGUGCUCGAGUGGCGACCGGGUGAGUAACCCGUGAGUAACCUGCCCUUGACUUUGGGAUAACUUCAGGAAACUGGGGCUAAUACCGGAUAGGAGCUCCUGCUGCAUGGUGGGGGCUGGAAAGUUUCGGCGGUUGGGGAUGGACUCGCGGCGUAUCAGCUUGUUGGUGGGGUAGUGGAUUACCAAGGCUUUGACGGGUAGCAGGCCUGGGCGGGUGACCGGCCACGUUAGACCUGGAAUACGACCCAGACUCCUACGGGAGGCAGCGGUGGGGAAGGUUACACAAUGGACGGAGGCCUGAUGCAGCGACGCCGCGUGCGGUAUAACGGCCUUCGGGUUGGAUUCCGCUUUCGUCUGUGACGAAGCGUGAAUGACGGUAAUGGGUAAAGAAGCACCGGCUAACUACGUG
rnacentral:rRNA from 1 species